AUGUGGUUUAAUUCGAAGCUACGCGAAGAACCUUACCAGGUCUUGACAUACUAUGCAAAUCUAAGAGAUUAGACGUUCCCUUCGGGGACAUGGAUACAGGUGGUGCAUGGUUGUCGUCAGCUCGUGUCGUGAGAUGUUGGGUUAAGUCCCGCAACGAGCGCAACCCUUAUUAUCAGUUGCCAGCAUUAAGUUGGGCACUCUGGUGAGACUGCCGGUGACAAACCGGAGGAAGGUGGGGAUGA
rnacentral:rRNA from 1 species